AUGAACGCUGGCGGCGUGCCUAAUACAUGCAAGUCGAGCGAACGGACGAGAAGCUUGCUUCUCUGAUGUUAGCGGCGGACGGGUGAGUAACACGUGGAUAACCUACCUAUAAGACUGGGAUAACUUCGGGAAACCGGAGCUAAUACCGGAUAAUAUUUUGAACCGCAUGGUUCAAAAGUGAAAGACGGUCUUGCUGUCACUUAUAGAUGGAUCCGCGCUGCAUUAGCUAGUUGGUAAGGUAACGGCUUACCAAGGCAACGAUGCAUAGCCGACCUGAGAGGGUGAUCGGCCACACUGGAACUGAGACACGGUCCAGACUCCUACGGGAGGCAGCAGUAGGGAAUCUUCCGCAAUGGGCGAAAGCCUGACGGAGCAACGCCGCGUGAGUGAUGAAGGUCUUCGGAUCGUAAAACUCUGUUAUUAGGGAAGAACAUAUGUGUAAGUAACUGUGCACAUCUUGACGGUACCUAAUCAGAAAGCCAUGGCUAACUACGUG
rnacentral:rRNA from 1 species